AUCACACACCGUCGCUGUCAGAUGUCAUAAUGCUACGAACUUUGACUUGUUAACAAGCUAGCAAAUACGAAGAUACACAAAGGGAACAUGAGGACUCUGUUGAUAAUUGGUCUAACUUUGAUAGUAAUGGCGAACAAAGCAGCAGAAGCUGGCACGGGAAAACGUCUUGAUCCGAAGGAGCCACCAGCCGGAUCUAAUUCGUCUGUUUCAUCCCAAGAAAACUCUUCUGUGACCUACACUAGUGGACCGCUGCUAGUGACAGUUCUAGGCCUUGUGCCUUACAUGUUGGUGUUCGGAGAACGCCUUUUGUAACCUGGCUGUGACCACAUCUGGCAUUCUGAAAGCAGUCCCGCAAUUAUAUCAAUUCUGCGUUACAUCAACAAAUAUCAGUGAUGAAUUGGUUCAGGGUUCGACCCCUAACAUUUUGUUGUACAUGAACAAAUAUGCCGAAUAUUCCAUGAAUAGUUCAAAGCAAUGACAAGAGAUAUGUUUUUAACUUGACUACGUACUUCAUGGAAUAUACGAAUUCAGAAGAUGUUUUCAAUAAACGCAAUGAUCAUAUCAAACAUUAAAUAUACACCAGCACUUAUUUCAAUAUUAGUUGUAUUCCUACUUUUAAUUUUUGUUUUCUCUAUACAAUUUACAUUGUACGAAGUUUUCCAUUGGAUAAUUAGAUGUAAAUACAAGCAUUAAAUUUAGUUCAACAAUAUGAUGAAUGCUAAAGUCAUUGCAAUGGAACUUUGAUGUGACUGCACAAUUAAAUGAAUUCAUGUGUUUAACACGGGGCAAUAAAACGUUGAACUUAA